GACCCCCGGCAAUGGGCAGAGACACCUUGCUGUUGGUAGUGUCCUUACAUCAGUCAGGGGCAGAGCAGAUGGCAGUCCUUUGUUCAUCUUAGCUUGAUGCCUGGUUUGGUGGACCAAGCUGCUUUAUGCCUGGAACUCAUAA